UUUAUGGUAUGUUUGCUCAUCUCUAGAGUUGUGUGUGCACUUUAUGAUUAUAUUACGCAUAGUAGAAAGAGCUAGAUUUUCAAAUGUAUUUUGACCAUGCGUUUGAGGAUGAUAAGAAUUUAAAGUGUGCAACUUAGUUGCAAGUUUUCCAAAGGAAAUCCUCAAAUCAUGGUUUGCGAAAUUUGAAGCUCUAUUCAACACUAUGCUUGAGGAUAAACCAUGAAGAUGUAUCACUUCUCUAGAGAAGAGUUUAUCCAUAACCAUGAAAAUUGAAUCAAAACCUUUUGUUGUCCUAGGGAGUUUUAAUAUGAAAUUUGUAUCUUCCCAAGGAUCAUUUGCAAAAGGUGAAGGAGUAUAGAGUUCAUGAGACAUUGCCUUGGGUGUAGUUUGAAAACAAGAAUUGUACCUAAGGUAAUGUCUUUGAACUUCUUUUCUCAUGGGGGACAAAAGUUUUCCUUUUAAAAGCUCUAGAGUUUUAUCAACUCUAAUUUGUCCCAUGAGUUCUCCUUCAUGAAGACUUUCACUCUUAUGUGUAAGGAUAGUCUCGUUGUGACAACCAUUGUUUAUAAGGAUUUGUACACUUUGCAAUGGUUGUCUCAAUAAGACAUGACAAGUUUCUUUAGGCCCUACUUCACAUAAAAAUUUGUUUUUGUAGAUGCUUAUAAAAAACUUGACAUUCACUUGGUGAUAUCCUAGCACAUAUGAGAAAUAAUCUAUUUCAUUUUUAUCUAUGCAAGCUUCUUUUAAAGACUCUUCUUUUUCACUUAGGCUUGCAAGUGUUCCUUUACAAAAGGUAAGGCUUUGAGGUUGUUCAACAAGACACAUAUUUUCAAAGGUAUUUUUAAAUCUUUGGUCUUGUUGAAUGACCUUGUGGGAAGGAACACUCUUCUCCCACGCCUUUUGUUCUUCAAGGAUCUUCUCAUGCUUUUCUUUUUCUUCUUUUUCUUUAGCUUCCCUUUCGACUUCCUCUCUCUUCUUUUGUAUUUUUCUUUCCUUUCUUUCUUUAUGGGAAGCAAACAAAUUUUCUACCCUCAUUUCCCAAUCUACGCAAGCUUCUAUAUUUUCUUUUCCAUGGAAAUGGGGUUGGUCUACCCUAACCCCUCUUGGGUUUUCUUGUUUUUUUCUAUCUCUUCUAUGUCUUCUAGGGGGUGCUUGAUAAUAAUCAUUUACUCUAAUGCUUCCCUCCCCAAAAGAAUCAUGAUCUUUAGAGAUAUAUGCAUGAGAAGGUAAUUUUUUUAGAAUGUGA
rnacentral:lncRNA from 1 species